CGUGGGUAACCUGCCCAUCAGGGGGGGAUAACAUCCGGAAACGGAUGCUAAAACCGCAUAGGUCUUCGAGCCGCAUGGCUUGAAGAGGAAAAGAGGCGCAAGCUUCUGCUGAUGGAUGGACCCGCGGUGCAUUAGCUAGUUGGUGAGGUAACGGCUCACCAAGGCCGUGAUGCAUAGCCGACCUGAGAGGGUGAUCGGCCACAUUGGGACUGAGACACGGCCCAA
rnacentral:rRNA from 1 species